CCUGUUUAUCAAAAACAUUUCUAAUUUUUCAGUUAGUAGGUCCUGCUCACUGGUUUAAAGAGCCGCAGUAUAUUAACUGUGCUAAGGUAGCAUAAUAAUUAGGCUUUUUAUUGGAGUCUAGUACGAAAGGGUUGAUGAUUUUUUGACUUUUCAAUCUAGUAAAAGAAUUUUAUUUUUAAGUCAAAAAGCUUAGCUUCUUAGAGUGACGAUAAGACCCUGUAAAGCUUUACUUCUAAAGAUAUUUCAUUUAACUCUGAGGAGUUAGGCUGGGGCGGCAAAUAAAAUCCUUUAAUUUAUGUAACUAACUACCCGAGGUGCGAGAUCUUUGAAGAAUUAGAACAAGCUACUUCAGGGAUAACAGCGUGAUUUUCCUAAAGAGAUCUUAUUUACAGGAAAGACUUACGACCUCGAUGUUGAAUUGAGGGGCCUAGAUUAAGCAGGAAUAAUCUCAGGGAGUCUGUUCGACUUUUAAACCCUCACGGUGAUCUGAGUGCAGACC
rnacentral:rRNA from 1 species